CAGUAGCCGCGGUAAUACGUAGGUGGCAAGCGUUGUCCGGAAUUAUUGGGCGUAAAGGGCUCGCAGGCGGUUUCUUAAGUCUGAUGUGAAGGCCCCCGGCUCAACCGGGGAGGGUCAUUGGAAACUGGGAAACUUGAGUGCAGAAGAGGAGAGUGGAAUUCCACGUGUAGCGGUGAAAUGCGUAGAGAUGUGGAGGAACACCAGUGGCGAAGGCGACUCUCUGGUCUGUAACUGACGCUGAGGAGCGAAAGCGUGGGGAGCGAACAGGAUUAGAUACCCCUGUAGUCCCUGUCUCUUAUAC
rnacentral:rRNA from 1 species